GUGUCAGCCGCCGCGGUAAUACGUAGGGUGCGAGCGUUAAUCGGAAUUACUGGGCGUAAAGCGUGCGCAGGCGGUUUCGUAAGACAGACGUGAAAUCCCCGGGCUCAACCUGGGAACUGCGUUUGUGACUGCGAGGCUAGAGUACGGCAGAGGGGGGUAGAAUUCCACGUGUAGCAGUGAAAUGCGUAGAGAUGUGGAGGAAUACCGAUGGCGAAGGCAGCCCCCUGGGUUAGUACUGACGCUCAUGCACGAAAGCGUGGGGAGCAAACAGGAUUAGAUACCCUGGUAGUCCACGCCCUAAACGAUGUCAACUAGGUGUUGGAAGGGUUAAACCUUUUAGUACCGCAGCUAACGCGUGAAGUUGACCGCCUGGGGAGUACGGCCGCAAGGUUAAAACUUAAAUGAAUUGACGGGG
rnacentral:rRNA from 1 species